GUGAAUUAAACAUGCUUGGUGUCUCCGCUUCGGCAAGGCCCUUGCUUAAAUCACAUCCUAACACCUGUGAACUGUAAGACGUAUGAUGAGGUCUUUGGCCAAGUCAUCGUCUGCCCAUUUUUAACAAACAAUUAAUGUAACAAACGUAGUCUUAUUAUAACCUAAUA
rnacentral:misc_RNA from 1 species